rnacentral:rRNA from 1 species
AUUGAACGCAGGCGGCAGGCUUAACACGUGCAAGUCGAGCGGAGAUGAGGUGCUUGCACCUUAUCUUAGCGGCGGACGGGUGAGUAAUGCUUAGGAAUCUGCCAUUUAGUGGGGGACAACAUUCCGAAAGGAAUGCUAAUACCGCAUACGUCCUACGGGAGAAAGCAGGGGAUCUUCGGACCUUGCGCUAAAUGAUGAGCCUAAGUCGGAUUAGCUAGUUGGUGGGGUAAAGGCCUACCAAGGCGACGAUCUGUAGCGGGUCUGAGAGGAUGAUCCGCCACACUGGGACUGAGACACGGCCCAGACUCCUACGGGAGGCAGCAGUGGGGAAUAUGGGACAAUGGGCGGAAGCCUGAUCCAGCCAUGCCGCGUGUGUGAAGAAGGCCUUUUGGUUGUAAAGCACUUUAAGCGAGGAGGAGGCUACCUAGAUUAAUACUCUGGGAUAGUGGACGUUACUCGCAGAAUAAGCACCGGCUAACUCUGUGCCAGCAGCCGCCGUAAAAC